CUUUUGAGAUUGGACGGUCUGGAGGUUGAAAUGUUUUUCUUGGCGAUUUGGUGAUUGAGGAUUUGGCAAGCAUGGCAGAAGUACAUUGAUAUUGUUAGUGAGCUAUAUCGAUCCUACUUGGACUGAUGGUUUGAUUGUGAAGAGCAAAGGUGGAGAUGGUAGCUCGAUUGGUAAUGAUUCAAAAAGAUCAAUGGGACUGGUUUUCAGCACUUUUGUUUAUGAGGAGGGAUCUGAAAAUGAUUUCAAGAUGGAUGCUAUACAUGCCUUUGCCAGAGAAGGAGAAGUGGAUAACUUGCUUAAAUGCAUUGAUAGUGGUGUUUAAGUUGAUGCAAAGGAAUCCUAUUACAGUUUGAACCUCAGAAGUCAGAGCUGCUUGGAGGGUUGUGGAUAAUGGGUUCUCAGCAGUUGAUGCAGUUGUUAAUUGAUGGCUGUUCGGCUUGU